CUCAUAGUUUUAACUUUUAUUGAUAUUUUAUUUAGUAAAGGAAUCUUUGAGUAAUAGUUAAAAAAAAUCUUUCGCAUUCUGUAGCUAAAUCAUGUGUUGUUGCUAUAUUAUAAACUUUCGUGCAUGAGCCAUUUAAAUCCGUUUGCAUUACUUUUUUAGUUGUUUCCCCUGGAAAAUUCUCUUCUUGCUAGCCUUCGCUGAGUUAUUCAACAACAUCGCUAUAUUGCUGAUUUUUGUUGUUGUUUUUUGGUUAAAGCUGCAUGCUUUUGUUGGAUAAUGUUUAAUUUAUCAUUCACGUUUUACAUAUGAUUCUGUUUAAACCAUAUUUAAUCGAUGUUUUGGUGAAUUUCGCGCAUGCUUAACUUGCCUGAUUUCGGACGUAAUUUACUUUCGGAUACAUGCUCCUCUUGUGUUUUUUUUCGAUGUUUUCUUAUGUAUGCAGAUUAAAAAAAACAGCUCAUGCUUAAAUGUGUUAUUGAGCAAGUGACUUCUAAUACUAUGGCAGGAAUAAAAAAAAACUGUUAUAAAAUUAAAAAGGAAGUUUAGUUACAUGUAUAAACUCACAGUCACAAGUGUUAACACCUGGCGUCGUGACCUGGAUGCAGAUUCUAAGCAGAUGGGCCAAAAUGGGGGCAGCUAGAGAGACUCGCCUGGAACUGACAAGCCUGGAGGGAGCUGGUUGACUGUUGGCGAGAUGGGACAACAGACGAAGAAUAAACGAACCUACUUGAUUUUUAUGUUUUUCAGUUUCGUCGGAAGACGUUUCCCACCAACCAUCCUGUCUUGAAAGAAAUAACUUUUGAACCCGAUUAUCUGAUAUUUUCCAGUUUCCCCUCACAACAAUUUGCAUCAAACCUCUUGUCUGCUCCUCAGCUGAAAUCAUCAUCUAGCAGUCACAAUAGUUGAGCGGUUGGAGAGGCAUGCAUUGCGUCCUACUACUGCUCAGACUAUAUCAUGUUUGGCAGACAAAACAUGCUGAUCAAAAAGAAUGUGUACCACAGGGGCCAGUGUUUCCAUUUGAGUGAUUGACAAGAAGAAGAAGAGAUGAGAAAUGUUAUCAUCAUAUUUUAGUCCCUACAUUUAUAGUGUACAGCUCAAUGUAUUGAACCGGUGUUGUAGAAUAUAAUUGGAGAUACAUGCGAACAUUAUAACAUUAUAUAUAAGAUGAUAUUUCAAAAGCAAUAAGAAAUAAAAAGUAUAAAAAGGUCAAAACAGUAAACCUUGUGUUUACAGUGGACAGGUUUAAAGUGGAAGUGACUAGUUAACUGUUGAUCAUAAGCUGCACUGAUGGAAAAAAUAGUGGGAAAUUACUAUCUAGAAAACUGUUUAACGUACGACAACAGUUGUGGAACUUCAUAAAUGACCGUAUGUAACAGGGCUGGGCAGUUUUCCUUAUAUAGCUAUAGUGAAACCUUUUGAACACUAGUGAAGUCACUGUUUUUUUCCCAAUCUUCAUGCAUUUUGGUCGAAUAUUUGUUCAAAUGAUGGCUCAGUCCAGUUUCGAAAUUUUUAUGUCUAUUCAAAAAACAUAUCCACUAGAGCGCGAGGCAAUUGUCUUAAUAUGGCUAUAAUGAAACCUUGUAAAUUCUCUAGAAGUGACAUUUUUAGCCAUAUCUCCAUAAAUUUUGGUCAGAAUAUUUAUUCUAAUGAUAUCUCAGUUGUCGAGUUUGUAACUGGUUCCGGUUUGUAGACUAACAUGGCUGCCAGUGGACAUGACAGUUUUUCUUAAAGUGCUAGAGUAGAACCUUGUUAACACACAAUUGGCCCUUGCAUUUUUCAUGAAAGAUGUCAGAGCAUUUGGCCCAAUGUAAUCUCAGCUGACUUUGAAACUGGAUCACAUAACGUCAAAAAGUGGGUCAAAAUGUCAAAUUAAAAAAAGCUUGUAAACACUGGAAGUUGCAUUUAAAAUUGUGUUCCUUUUUUAUGUCCCCCACUAAAGUAGUGGGGGACAUAUUGUUUUUGCCCUGUCUGUUGGUUGGUCUGUUGGUUGGUUGGUUGGUUUGCGCCAACUUUAACAUUUGCAAUAACUUUUGCAAUAUUGAAGAUAGGAACUUGAUAUUUUGCAUGCAUAUGUAUCUCAUGGAGCUGCACAUUUUGAGUGGUGAAAGGUCAAGGUCAUCCUUCAAGGUCAAAGGUCGAAUAUAUGGGUCAAAAUCGCUCAUUUAAUGUACACUUUUGCAGUAUUUCAAUAUUCAAGAUAGCAACUUGAUAUUUGGCAUGCAUGUGUAUCUCAUGGAGCUGCACAAUUUGAGUGGUGAAAGGUCAAGGUCAUCCUUCAAGGUCAGAUGUCAAAUAUAUGUGUCCAAAAUCGCUCAUUUUAUUAUACUUUUGCAAUAUUGAAGAUAGCAACUUGAUAUUUGGCAUGCAUGUGUAUCUCAUGGAUCUGCACAUUUUGAGUGGUGAAAGGUCAAGGUCAUCCUUCAAGGUCAGAGGUCAAAUAUAUGUGGCCCAAAUCACUAAUUUUAUGAAUACUUUUGCAAUAUUGAAGAUAGCAACUUGAUAUUUGGCAUGCAUGUGUAUCUCAUGGAGCUGCACAUUUUUAGUGGUGAAAGGUCAAGGUCAUCCUUCAAGGUCAAAUAUAUGGGUCAAAAUUGAUCAUGUAAUGUCACUUCUGCAAUAUUGAAGCUAGCAAUUUUAUAUUUGAAAUGCAUGUGUAUCUCAUGGAGCUGCACAUUUUGAGUGGUGAAGGGUCAAGGUCAUCCUACAAGGUCAAACGUCAUAUAGGGGGACAUUGUGUUUCACAAACACAUCUUGUUUAAAGUUUGUCAAAACAUUUGCUGUAAUGAAAAGCAAAGUCAAGUUUAUAAAUGAUUAUUUGCCUACAAAUUACAUAUUUUUCAUCAAGUUCAUUUAUUAUUCUAAACUACACCCUCUCAGAAUAGUUUAGUUCCUUCUGGUCACAGUUGAGCACCUUAGGGCUCUUGUUCUAUAAUUUGAUUGUUUUGGAAAAUUGUCAUUUUACCAAAAUGUGAGCAAGUCCAAAUUUAAUUAACCCUGCUUUGUAGUAUCUUGUUUUCCUUAUAUGUAUAAAGUGGAAAAUUAUCUAUGAAUCUGACUGCAUAGAUAUUUGGUAUUCAGCAUAGCAUCGUGUAAAUGUAGUAAAACUAAACACAAUUGUGUUAGCAUAAAACUGGCCAUGCCAUGGGGGUCAAAUGGUUAAUACAGACUUGUAGGAAAAAGACUUCUAAAAAUUUUAUCCGUUAAAUAUAUUUUGUGUACAUAAUGAUUAGCUUUUUCCUUCAACUUAUC